rnacentral:sRNA from 1 species
GCCCAAAUUCGCACGUGCCCGUGGUCGUCCAUGGGAUGUUCAACAAGACAUCUCUUAAGGGGCCGCUGCCAGACAAUCCGCCAAGGGGCGGGGCAGUUGAGAUCCGGACGGCUUAAAGCAACGACGUAAGAGGGCUUUU